UGAGUGCUUAUAAUGUGCCGGGUACUGUUU
rnacentral:piRNA from 1 species